rnacentral:lncRNA from 1 species
AUAACAUGGCAGGAGAUCCCGAACAAAUACAGAAACAAGUACUUGAGAAAUAUGCAGAAAAGUUUCCUUCAUCAUACCUAGACGUGGUCCGGCAAGCUGAUCUUUCAACGUUAACAUGGGCAUCGUUGAAGUUUAGGCAGCCAUGGGGGAUCAUAUUUGGAAAGCUAAGCAAAGGAAAUGUGACGGUAGCUGGUGAUGCUAUGCACCCCAUGACUCCUGACCUAGGACAAGGCGGUGGUUCAUCACUAGAAGACGCUGUGGUAUUGGGCAGACACAUUGGCAAUUCAGUUAAAAACAAUGGAGGGCUGAUUGUUCCAGGAGACAUGGCUAAAGCCAUAGAUGAUUAUGUGAAGGAAAGGAGGUGGCGUGCUGCUUUUCUUGUCACAGGAUCAUAGUUAGCAGGAUGGGUGCAGCUCGGUGGAGAUAAAUGGUGGGUGAAAUUCUUAAGGGAUGGAAUAUUUUACAAGUAUCUUUUUGGCAGGAUCUCUGGACUUGUGCAUAAAGAUUGUGGCAAACUUCCUGCUAUGUCCUUCGGUGAUAUGGAUCACUCAAGUAAGAAGGACUAGAUUCAAUUUUGGCAUAUAGAUUCUGCAGAUGAGUGGUUUCAGACAAUGGCUCACAAUUACUAGUUAACGAGUCUUUUUUAUAUUAUUUGAUUACUGUCUCGAGAUUAAAAAAACAAAAAACAUGUCUUCCUGUGCUCUGUAAUUUAUAAUUUGGGUAAUAAAAAAUACUUUUUGUCUAAAGAUACUACCAGAAAUUCGCUUAAUAGCAAUGGAAUCACCGACGAAAUAUUUAUGUCGGUAAUUACCGACCGAAUUACGGACGGAAAGUUCGGAAUUAAGAAAAAAAGGGUGGGUCGCUAACGUGGAGGUUUUGGCAGGUGAUAUUUCCGACAGAAUCACCGACGGAUUCAAAACGAGUGACCUGUACGGGUGACGGGACCGGUUCACAGUCAAAAAUACAGACGGAAUCACCGACGGAUUUGAAAUGGCAGACCCGUACGGGUGACGUUACCUAUUCACCGUCAACAAUACCAACGGAAUCACCGAGGGAUUUGAAAAGCAGGUUUGUGCGGUGACGUGUCUAUUUUCCCGUCAGAAUAGCCGGCGGAUACACCGACGGAUUAACCCCGUCGGUGAAUCCGUUGGAAAAAGUUAAUAUAUGGCCCCUGCCAACCCUCUCCUCCCCCAUUUCUCCUUCUUCUUCAUAAUCCUAACUCUCCCCAUCUGCAAAUAAUCAGCCCCCCCUCGGACCCAAACAAAAUUCUUCCUCAUCUCAGCACAAAAAGUUGUAUUUCUUGAAGUUUUAUGGUCACAACAUCCGUGUUCUGAUUUACCGACAGAUUUUAUCAAUUUUUGUAAGUAAUUCUAUUUGUUUAAAUUUUAACAUUUAAAUGUCAAUUUUAUUGUUUUUUUAGUAUAUGUAUUUUUGUUAGUAGAUGUACGUGUUUUAUUAUUAUUUCUCAAACAAACUUGUAGUAUAUGAAAGUAUACUUUUAUACCUGUUAUGGUUUGUUUUAGAUUUUGUAAGAUUGCAUUUGUUUGUAAAUUGUUAAAACUUUCUGGAAUUACCGAAUUACAUGUUCUGUUUUGAAAUAAUUAAUAGCUUACUUAAUGGGUCCUUUUUAAGUUUUAUCGAUGGUAUUGCAGAGUGGUAAUUUUUGUUAAUUUAUAUAUAUUAAUUUGUAUGGACGUUGAUAAAUGAUAAUGAAUAUUUAAUAUUUAUGAGAAGUUGUGAUUGGUUUGAUGGAUAAUCUCGAGGUAAAGUUAUAUUUUUGCAAGUUUAUUUACCUAACUUAGUUAAUUAAUACAUGAUGUCAUCAUAAUUUUAUAGAGGUUCGAUAGAAGUCAUGGAUGAUCGUUCAUGGAUGUAUCUAGAUUCACCCCAAGGAUUGCGGAGGAUGGAUUAUUGUAAUGGGGUUCAGGGUUUUAUUAAUUUCGCAACAUCUAUUCCCAUAAAUUUUACUGGAAGCGGUAUUAGGUGUCCAUGCAAGAAAUGUCAAAAUAAAAGGUAUCUGCAUCCAGAUGUUGUAAUGAUGCAUCUUCUACACAAAGGGUUUAUGGAGGAUUAUCAGUGUUGGUAUGCACAUGGAGAGGUAUUUGUUAGUAAUAGGAGAAUGGGAGAAACGGUGGUUGGGUCAACUUCUAGUGCUAGCAACGUGCAUGAAGCGACAAAUAACAACACUAAUCCUUACAGAAAUAUGGUUAUGGAUGCAAUGAGAAUGAAUCAAGGUAAUGUCAGUCAAUGUCCAAUCAUAGAAGAAGAACCUAAUACAGAGGCAGCUAGGUUUUUUGAUUUGUUGAGAGAUUUUGACGAACCAUUAUGGGAUGGCUGCACAAACCACAGUAAAUUGUCAGUCGUGGCACAGGUGUUCACCAUCAAGUCAGAUCGCGGGUUGAGUGAGGUCGGGUAUGACAAAAUUAUUGAUUGGGCAAGAAGCAUUUUACCUGAAGGGAACAGGCUGAAAGAGAACUUCUAUGCUGCGAAGUCCAUGAUGAAACCCCUCGGUUUAGGAUACCAGAAAAUUGACAUGGGAAACUCGCAUGUCCAUACUGCAUGGAAAACAACAAAGCAUUCACGCUAGCAAACAGAGGUAAAGCUUCUGUUUUUGACUGUCACCGUCGCUUCUUGCCACUUAAUCACAGGUUCAGAUAGAACAGAAAAGAUUUCUUUGUUGGUAGAGUUGAAAAAGAUGUUGCAUCCCCGCGUCUUUUUGGUGAAGAAUUGCAUCAUGUUGUAUCAGAGUACGAUGACAUUGAGUUUGGCCUUCAAUCAGGUAAGCAAAAGUUUCAUGGUUUUGGUUUGACCCAUAAUUGGGUAAAGCGAAGUAUCUUUUGGGAGCUUCCUUAUUAGAAGACCAAUCUUCUCCGCCAUAACCUUGACGUCAUGCACAUCGAAAAGAACGUGUUUGAGAAUAUUUUCAACACCGUCAUGGAUGUGAAGGGGAAGACAAUGGACAACAUCAAGGCUAGAUUGGAUAUAGCUUUAUACUGUAACCGUAAAAAUAUAGAGUUGGUUUAUGAGGAGUCACGGGUCGCAAAACCAAGGGCAAGCUUCGUGUUAGAGAAAAACGCACAACUGUUAGUCUACAAAUGGCUUAAGAGUCUGCGUUUUCUGGAUGGACAUGCAUCGAACAUAUCAAGGCUUGUUAACAUAGAGGACUGCAGAUUGUAUGGAAUGAAGAGUCAUGACUGCCACGUGUUUAUGCAAACACUCAUCCCAUUAGCUUUUCGUGAUUUGUUGCCAAAGGGAAUAUGGGAUACACUGACAGAGAUCAGUCAUUUCUUCAGAGAUAUAUGCUCCAGCAAGUUGAAUGUUGAGCACAUUGAGAGGCUUCAAACGAAUAUCAUCGAGACACUAUGCAAACUUGAGAUGAUAUUCCCUCCUUCAUUUUUUGACUCAAUGGAGCAUCUCCCUAUAAAUCUACCGUUCGAGGCAAAAGCUGGAGGACCGGUCAGUAUAGAUGGAUGUACCCAUUCAAACGGUUAGAUAUUAUAGUUGCAAUGAAAUUCAUAUCUAAAAGUAUUUUAUAUGUUUUUCUUAAUUGGAAAUACUUGAAUUGUAAUUCAAUGCAGGCACUUGUUUAAUCUCAAGAAAAAGGUUAAGAACAAGGAAAAUGUAGAGGCUUCGAUAUCUGAGGCCUAUAUUGUUGAAGAGAUCUCAAUAUUUAUCUCAUACUAUUUUGAACCUCAUCUAAGAACAAGAAUCAAUCGCGUUCCACGGCAUGAUGAUGGCGGUGAAGUGCCUUCCAGUGGGAACUUGUCAAUAUUCUCCAAUACUGGACGACCCACACCUAAAAAUGUCGUAAGAGGAAGAUAUUUGUCGAAAAUAGAAUUCAAACAAGCACACAACUAUGUUCUAUUUAACUGUGAUGAGCUGAGACCAUUUAUUCAGUAAGUUUAUAUAUGUGUAAUACUAAUUAAACUUUAUCAGUAAUAUACUGCUAAUUAUAUAUUGUGAUAUCAUACACUCAUUAUCACUUGCAGGCAACAUCGACAAUAUUUGCUCUCCAAUAACUCGCAGCAGACCGACUCCCAGAUCUUUCAAUUACAAGAUAAACAAUUUGCCACAUGGUUCAGAACACAUGUAAGCACUAUCACAAACUCAUUCUAACUUGUAAAUUACUGUACGUAUGCAUGUCAUUAUGAGAUUCUCGUUCAUUUACCAUUUAUUGAUGUACAUUACAUGUAUACAAGGUUUAUCAAAUGGGAAGGAGUGCGUCUAAGUCAUUGUCUUCACUAAGCCUCGGGCCUGAAAGAAAAGUUAAGUGCUACAACAGGUAUUUUGUCAAUGGAUAUGUUUUCCAUACUGAAGAAUACGGGCAAGGAAGAAAAACAUACAACUGCGGUGUUUGUGUUAAUAGAUCCAUAAGUAGUGAGUUAGAAGUUGACUACUAUGGUAAAUUAAAAGAGGUCGUCGAACUACAAUAUCAUAGCGAGCAGAAUAAAGUGUUUUUAUUCAAAUGCUAUUGGUAUGACACGACGGACAGAGGAAUCAGAGUUGAUACGCACCAUAGUCUAGUCGAAAUCAACUCAAAAGAUAGACUCCGCAACAUAAACGAUGUUUUUGUUUUCGCAAUAUAAUAAUAGUUUAAGCUGUUAGAUGAUAUCCCAUAAUAUGAUUUAUAUUAUUUUCUAAUAGGUUAAAGCUGCUUUUCUUAAAAUUUUAAUUUUUUUUGUUUAAAAUUAAUUUUUUUUUUCAGAUUAUUUUGAUGUAUCAAUAUUAAAAAUAAUUUUUUAAAAAUAAAAAUAAAAUUAUUUUAAUAUAUUUUUAAAUAAAACAUUAAACCAUAAAUAUUAUUAUAUUCUCAAACAUCUCGUAAAAUUUCAAUACAUUAAACGAGAAAAGAUGUCGUUAAGUUUUGUCUUCUUUAAAUAAUGCAUGUUCACUUUUAAUUAGGUGUCAAACUCAGCUUAGGUAAUAAUAUUGAGAAAUGCUUGGGUUGUUAGAUUAUUACGUCAAUAUAUAAGUCAUCAAAACAUCUAUAUUUAUUAAAACAGUAGUUUUUUCUCACAAUAUAUUGGUUUGAUUAAUUUAAAUCAGGUUUAAUUAGAUUAAUAGAGUAAUUAAAAUCCUAAUUCGAUCAAUGAAUUUGAUCAUGUCAUUAUUUUAUAUCUAGUUAAAUUUUAAUUUGACCGAAUAAAAAAAAUAAUUAAAUUAAUAUUUUAUUUAAUACAAUUAAAAAUUUAAUAUAGGUUACGUUUCAUCUUAUUUAUGAAAUCAAUCAAUCAUGUUGCCUCAAUUUAAUAAUUAUGAUUUAAUUUGAUAUCAUAUAUUUGAAAUUUUUUCAAAAUAAAACAUGAAAUGAUUGCUUAAGUUUAAGGCUUAAUCAGUUCUUUAUUACUUUAAUUUGUAUGUGCUGUAUGCUUUUGAUGUUUCUUCCUAGAAUAAAACUGCUCUGGCUUCGCUAAUCAGUUUUGACCUUAUCAAUUUAAGUUUUAAGUUUUUUUACAAGAAUCUUAGUCACAAUCUUGUAAUUGACAUUGCAAAGGCCAAUCAGUGUGUGAUUUUAUCAACAACAUUUUUAAUGACAAGUCUGAAGUAGAUGAAGUGAAUCAGACUCAUUUGGUUCUCAUCCUAAAAGUAAAUUCUCCAGAAUAUCUAUAUCAAUUUAAACCAAUUGGCCUUUGCAAUGUCAAUUACAAGAUUGUGACUAGGAUUCCCGUAAAAAAACUUAAAAUAAUAAUGCUAAAAUUGAUUAGCGAAUCUCAAAGUAGUUUUAUUCUAGGAACAUCACAUAUAAUAUCAUAGUGCUCAGGAAAUUGUGCAUUCCACGAGACAGAUGAAAGAGAAAAAGGGGAUGAUGGCUAUCAAAGUGAAUAUAAAAAAGACCUAUAAUAAAUUACAGCGAGAUUUUAUUGGUGAUACUCUUAUAAAGACAAAACUGUUAAAAUAUAUAGAAUCUACUUCUAUCAAUGUUUCAUAGAAUAAUAAAUCUACUAUGGAUUUUAAAUUAUCUCGAGAUAUAAGAUAAAAUUAUUUUUAAUAUCAAUUUAUUGAAUGGAUUGAAUACUUCAAAAAAAAAAUUAAUUUUAGAUAAAAAAAAAAUGAUUUUUAAAAAAACUUCUCUUAAAAGCAUAAAACCAAGCAUGCUGCAAGGCAGCCGCCUCAUCUGCACUCUCCUCGAACGUUCUUAUCUACCCAACUCCAAAAGAUACAUGACCGAAGAGAUUGCCUUUCUUCUUUCUUUCCUUCUUUUUUUUCUUUUUAUCUUAGAUGCUGCAACUCUAGAUUAUCAAAAAUUAUUGUCCACCAAUAUUUAUUAUCCUUAUUUUAUCACGGAUUAUAAUCUUUAAUAAAAAAAAAUAUAUAGCUCUUAUAAUUACAAUAAUAAAUUUAGGAUUGCUUCCUUGAUCACAACAACAAUAACAUCUUCAAUAUAAACAUAUUGAUGAUUACUAAUUCCUUGAUUAAUUUUUAGAUUUGAAAUCGCUAUCUUAUUUAUUUAAAUGUGAUUAUAGUUUGUUUAUUUAUUUAACUAGUUCAAAAAAAAAAUUUAGUUUUAUUAACUCGCAAAUUUGCUAGAUAUCCAUGAAGAAAAACAUUAUAUUCCUUUUUUUUUUUUUAAGAUUGAUGCGGGUAUUUGGGCUAAUUUGCGUGUACCUCGACUAAUCUCACUAACUCGAAGUUAAUGGUCAUGUAACUAUCUAGUUACCCUAAACUUUGUGAGAUCCCAAACUAGUGAUCUCUAGAAAACAAAUCUAGAAUCUGACCAAUUGAUCUACAUCCCUCGUUAGUAUAUUCUUAAUUACCUGCAAGAUAAGGUAUGUAUACAAGUGGGUCGCGGUCAGACUUGGAGUCCAAGCACAUGGGGUUAUAAUAAGAACAAGACGAGGCACCCUGUAGAAGGAAACACUCAUACACGCAGAGGGAGAGAUAGAUGGAAAUGAUGGAGGAUGUGGUGAUAGUCGGAGCAGGAAUUGCAGGGUUGGCAACAGCAGUGGCUUUGAAAAGAGUAGGGGUUCGAGCCCUGGUGUUAGAGAGAUCAGAAGGGCUAAGAGCCACAGGUGCAGCCUUGACUCUAUUUCCAAAUGCUUGGCUUGCUCUUGAUGCUCUUGGUGUUUCUCACAAGCUCACCCCCAUUUAUGCUCUUACAUCGAUGUAAUAAGUUGUUCCUCUACACUAAUUCUAUUCUUUUGAUCAUGUCUGUCCAUCGUUUCUUGAAUUUGAAUAUUAUAUAUCUUCUGGGUGAUUGAUUAGUUUCCUGUGCACUUCUCUUUUCCUCUUGUAUGAUUUAGGGGAUAUGUUAGUGCUGGAGAUGUUCAACAAGUCCACGCCCGAGUGGCCAAUAAUGGGUAAACUUUUUGAAACUUAAUAAAAUAAUUUCUUGAUUAAUUUUUUAGUACAAUUUCAUGCAAGGAUCUGUACUAUGAAUGGCUGUCGGAAUCAUAAAAGAAUUUUAUAAUCGGUUCAAUAUUAUAGUUAUACUGAUGUAUAAUGGACAGACCGGAUUCCUUCAUGUUUAUGCCGACAAAACUUCACCCUCAUCAACAUCCGCUUCCUAUGACGUGCUUCUGGGUGUGAAUUAAUGCCUUGUGUUUUGUGUGAAAUAGGGGCGAUGGACAAGGAAUUAGGACAAUUCACCGCAAAGCACUGUUAGAGGCACUGGCAGAGGAAUUGCCGGUUGACUCAAUUCAAUUCUCUUCCAAGCUAGCUGUCAUUGAAAAUGAAGAGCAAGGCGGUGCUUCCAUUGUUGUUAUCCAUUUGGAAGAUGGAACUACAAUCAAAUCCAAGGUUCUGAUAGGCUGUGAUGGCGUGAACUCGGUGGUGGCACGUUGGCUAGGACUGGCAGAACCAGUCCAUUCAGGGCGGUCUGCUGUGCGAGGUUUAGCAGUUUUUUCUCAAGGCCAUGGAUUUAAGCAAGAAGUUCAUCAGUUUGUGGAUGCGGGCAAAAGAGCUGGUUUUAUUCCUCUUAAUGACAGAGAACUUUACUGGUUUUUAACCUACAACGGUUAGCACUAAACCCUUCCUUCUUUCUCGUUUUAGCUGGACACAAAUGAUCGUUCAUGUCAGAUCAUUGCAGGGAACAUUUAUUCUGAACUAAUUUUCAAUUCAGGAGAUAACAUGGUGGGAGAUCCAGAACAAAUACAGAAACAAGUACUUGAGAAAUAUGCAGAAAAGUUUCCGUCAUCAUACCUCGACGUGGUCCGGCAUGCUGAUCUUUCAACGUUAACAUGGGCAUCGUUGAAGUUUAGGCAGCCAUGGGGGAUCAUAUUUGGAAAGCUAAGCAAAGGAAAUGUGACAGUAGCUGGUGAUGCUA